UACGUAGGGUGCAGGCGUUAAUCGGAAUUACUGGGCGUAAAGCGUGCGCAGGCGGUUUGUUAAGACAGAUGUGAAAUCCCCGGGCUUAACCUGGGAACUGCGUUUGUAACUGGCAAGCUAGAGUGUGGCAGAGGGGGGUGGAAUUCCACGUGUAGCAGUGAAAUGCGUAGAGAUGUGGAGGAACACCGAUGGCGAAGGCGACAUCCUGGACCGGUAUUGACGCUGAGGCGCGAAAGCCAGGGGAGCAAACGGG
rnacentral:rRNA from 1 species